rnacentral:lncRNA from 1 species
GUAAAACUAUCCAUAGCUCACUUGCAAAUGUUUGAAACUACAUCAUUUAUCAGUUUUUGCAUUACAAAAUGUUGAAACAUUCUCGGAAGAAUUUUUCCAAUUUCUUUGUCACUCAAAAUGAUAUUCACUUGUCAGUUUACAAGAUCGACUUUGCUAGUAAAACUCUCAUCAAAACGCCGAUUCCGCAGCAGUAGCCUUGCGGAAAUUUCGGAGUUUGAAGAGUCUUCGAAGAAGUUCAGUCACUUCCAAAGGACUCCGAAAAUUGAUGAUGAAAUUUGAAACAACAGGAUCAUUGGCUGUUCGUCCUGGAAGAGAGAGAAAACACGUUUGUACGGAGGUAGUAGAGGAGGUUGCGGUUCAGAUCGAAGAGGAUAGAGCUUCGACUUUAUGGACAACACUAGUGUUCGCUGUAUCACAGAAGCGUUGGAUAGGCCAUCUCCUGUCUAUAAGAUCCUCCGGAAUAUCCUAUAAUAACCAUACAAACUCAUUUGUUCAGCAGUUGCUUCCACAUGAUUUUGGCAAACGACUAUCGUUCUCACUACGGUUUCUUGUUCGCUG